GACGAACGCUGGCGGCGUGCUUAACACAUGCAAGUCGAACGGAAAGGCCCUGCUUUUGUGGGGUGCUCGAGUGGCGAACGGGUGGGUAACACGUGAGUAACCUGCCCUUGACUUUGGGAUAACUUCAGGAAACUGGGGCUAAUACCGGAUAGGAGCUCCUGCUGCAUGGUGGGGGUUGGAAAGUUUCGUCGGUUGGGGAUGGACUCGCGGCUUAUCAGCUUGUUGGUGGGGUAGUGGCUUACCAAGGCUUUGACGGGUAGCCGGCCUGAGAGGGUGACCGGCCACAUUGGGACUGAGAUACGGCCCAGACUCCUACGGGAGGCAGCAGUGGGGAAUAUUGCACAAUGGGCGGAAGCCUGAUGCAGCAACGCCGCGUGCGGGAUGACGGCCUUCGGGUUGUAAACCGCUUUCGCCUGUGACGAAGCGUGAGUGACGGUAAUGGGUAAAGAAGCACCGGCUAACUACGUGCCAGCAGCCGCGGUGAUACGUAGGGUGCGAGCGUUGUCCGGAUUUAUUGGGCGUAAAGGGCUCGUAGGUGGUUGAUCGCGUCGGAAGUGUAAUCUUGGGGCUUAACCCUGAGCGUGCUUUCGAUACGGGUUGACUUGAGGAAGGUAGGGGAGAAUGGAAUUCCUGGUGGAGCGGUGGAAUGCGCAGAUAUCAGGAGGAACACCAGUGGCGAAGGCGGUUCUCUGGGCCUUUCCUGACGCUGAGGAGCGAAAGCGUGGGGAGCGAACAGGCUUAGAUACCCUGGUAGUCCACGCUGUAAACGGUGGGUACUAGGUGUGGGGUCCAUUCCACGGGUUCCGUGCCGUAGCUAACGCUUUAAGUACCCCGCCUGGGGAGUACGGCCGCAAGGCUAAAACUCAAAGGAAUUGACGGGGCCCCGCACAAGCGGCGGAGCAUGCGGAUUAAUUCGAUGCAACGCGUAGAACCUUACCUGGGUUUGACAUGGAUCGGGAGUGCUCAGAGAUGGGUGUGCCUCUUUUGGGGUCGGUUCACAGGUGGUGCAUGGCUGUCGUCAGCUCGUGUCGUGAGAUGUUGGGUUAAGUCCCGCAACGAGCGCAACCCUUGUUCACUGUUGCCAGCACGUUAUGGUGGGGACUCAGUGGAGACCGCCGGGGUCAACUCGGAGGAAGGUGGGGAUGACGUCAAGUCAUCAUGCCCCUUAUGUCCAGGGCUUCACGCAUGCUACAAUGGCUGGUACAGAGAGUGGCGAGCCUGUGAGGGUGAGCGAAUCUCGGAAAGCCGGUCUCAGUUCGGACUGGGGUCUGCAACUCGACCUCAUGAAGUCGGAGUCGCUAGUAAUCGCAGAUCAGCAACGCUGCGGUGAAUACGUUCCCGGGGCU
rnacentral:rRNA from 1 species